rnacentral:rRNA from 1 species
GACGAACGCGGGCGGCGCGCUUAACACAUGCAAGUCGAGCGAGAACCAGGGCUUCGGCCCUGGGGACAGCGGCGAACGGGUGAGUAACACGUGGAUAACCUGCCCUCGGCACCGGGAUAGCCCGGGGAAACCCGGAUUAAUACCGGAUGGCCCUUCCGGCUUUCGAGCUGGUCGGAAAAGGUAGCUUCGGCCUCCGGCCGAGGAUGGGUCCGCGGCGGAUUAGCUAGUUGGUGGGGUAACGGCCUACCAAGGCGACGAUCCGUAGCUGGUCUGAGAUGAGGAUCGGCCAAACUGGGACUGCGACACGGCCCAGACUCCUCCGGGAGGCAGCAGUGGGGAAUCUUGCGCAAUGGGCGAAAGCCUGACGCAGCGACGCCGCGUGAGGGAGGAAGGCCUUCGGGUUGUAAACCUCUUUCAGGAGGGACGAAGCUACUCGGGUUAAUAGCCCAGAGGGUGACGGUACCUCCAGAAGAAGCCCCGGCUAACUACGUGCCAGCCGCCGCAGUAAUAC